AAGAGGAAGAGGAGACCAUCAAUCUUGGGUUGCUCGAGACCAAAAUCACGCGUCCUCUCCUCCAAACCCGCAGCUGCUGCCUCCCACUCCCAGAGUAACGACAACCUAACGCAGCAAGAUGCUUAUUGUCUGAUGCUCGACAUAUGCACAAGAUAGACAUUGCAUUUCAGAUAUUGAGAUGUGCGUUAAGUGCUUGGGUCUGGGUGUCACAGGACCAAAAUGGCAGUAAUUCUUGUCCAGUAUCAUUGCUUCUCCGUGAUCACUAUUUGAGAAUAGAGUAAUGCUGAUAAUAACAGUUACUCACUUGCUUUUGGAUCUUUCUACCACCCUUCUUUUGAUAUUAGGGACUAUUUCUUUUAGAGGUUUUAAUGAUUAUAAAACUAUAAAUGGAUAGGUAAAGUACAAAGCUUUUAAUUCAGCUAUUGAUAGAUUGACCUGCUUUCAUCUUUCAGUGCCUUGAGCAGCUAAUUAUUCGAUUUUGGGUUCUGCUCUGGACUGCAGGAUACAAUCACCAUGGUUGAGAGCAUCCCUUUUCUGAAGCAAAUGCUACUGAAAUCAGUGUCCAGAUUAAUCUUGAGACAAGCAUGGUUGCUGAGUUACUUCGCUUGGACAUCUUCAAAUAUGAUGCGAAGAUGCAUCCACCCAUCACCAUUUCGCCUUUGUGAUGUACAAUUUUCAUAUUUUAUUUUGCAUCCCCUGAUGUUCAUUUCUUUGGUGCCUGGACUGCAGCAUGUUCAGUUUACUGUCACCGUGACUAAGCUUAGCUUAGCUUUGAUGGUUUUCUUCCUGUAAAACUUGGCAUGAGUCAGGGAAUGCAUAUGGUGUUCAAUACAGGUACCUAGAUUCGAGUUUUGUGCCGCUGAUGCACCAGGGUGAUUGGCUGCAUCUGUUCUUGCUUCAUAGUAGUGAUGACCACAAGUAAUGCUAAAUAAUUCAUAAAGGGAAUGCCACCAGUCUACGAAACCCCCUUAGGUGUAUUCAUCUCAUCUGCCAUAUCUGGUACGGCACCCAGUAUAAGAACUAAUCAUGCACAUGGACUCCGCCUGUUCUUUUCUCAGCUAUCUCCAAAUUGAGUUGACGAAGGUUGUUUGAACUUCCAAGUUCUUACUGUUCUUCUUUGGUCUUAUUACCCUGGGGAUCAUGAAAGGAGAGCACAACUGAACACCUGCUAUAUUGGUUCACUACUUUAUGCUUUGGAUAGAGUCACUAUGGUUGAGAGCAUGUCUUUUCUGAAGCCAAUGCUACUGAAAUUAGUGUCCAGAUUAAUCUUGAGACAAAGAAGUUUGCUGAGUUACUUCGCUUGGACAUCAUCAAAUUUGGUGCAAGGAUGCAUCCACCCAUCACCAUUUCGGCUUUCUGACAUACAAUUUUCAUAUUUUAUUUUGCAUCGCCUGAUAUUCAUUUCUUUGGUGGCAGCAUGUUCGGUUUACUGUCACCAUGACUAAGCUUAGCUUAGCUAUGAUGGUGGUAAUUCCUGUAAAACUUGCUAUGAGUCAGGGAAUGCAUAUGGUGUUCAAUGCAGGUACCUUAGAUUCGAGUUUUCUGCCGCUGAUGCACCAGGGUGAUUGGCUGCAUCUGUUCUUGCUUCAUAGUGUGAUGACCACAAGUAAUGCUAAAUAAUUCAUAAAGGGAAUGACACCAUUUUUUUUUUUUGCCUGAUUUCAUUUGUCUCUUGAUUUUUCUCCUUAGGUAAACUAGAUAAAAAAAUGUUUCUGUUUUUUUGCCUGAUCUCAUUUUUCUCUUGAUUUUUCUCUUUCCUGUUUGUCAGCUACUGAAUGUGUGGCUAUACCCCUUCCAUGUAGUUACACUCUCGAUUCCAUGAGCUGCUACAUGUGAACUGUUAUAUUUAUUUGUCUUUUUGCUCUAAAUAAGCUCCUAGAUGAAAGUAGUAUGCUUCUGUUUGUACAGUUUGGGGUAUGUAUUUGAUGGAUAAUGUUGCAGGUUUAGUGGCCGUACUUUUAUUAUUUCAAUAACAUUCCUUUUAUUCUCAGACCCAUUUCACUCAUGAACUAUCACAUUGGUUCAUCUUUAUUUCUUGAUUAUCUUGACAGAUUUGUGUUUUUAUUAAUGUUAGCAUUCCCUAAAUUUCUAAGCAUUGCUUUGCCAGUAGUGCUGAACUUUUAUGUAUAGCAAAUUUUUAUACUUGUUGUUUGCGGCAUUAGUAUUUCAGUAAGCUCAUACCUUCUGUCUCCACCUUAUUUGCAGGUGUAUUCACCUCAUCUGCCAUAUCCGGUAUGGCACCCAGUAUAUGGACUAAUCAUGCGCAUGGAUUCCGCCUGUUUUUUUGUCAGCUAUCACCAAAUUGAGUUGACGAAGGUUGUUUCAACUUCCAAGUUAUUACUGUUCUUCUGUGGCCUUAUUGUCCUGGGGAUCAUGAAAGGUGCUGGAUACAACAAUGUCAGUGGGGUGGCUUUAUCAAACAAGUAUCAUGGUCUCUGGUGGAACUAUCAAGCAUGGGCGCCGAGAGUUAACACCUCCUCCACACAGGUUGAGCGCAUCAAAGUUCCUCUAAUGCGCGCUGGGAGUUGAAUCUCCGACCGCACGUGUCAUGCACAUCAAAGUUCUCGUGCACGGGUGGAGUUACUACCUCCGCCGCACGAGUCGAGUGUAUCAAAGUCCUUCUAGUGCGCGUUGGGAGUUAACACCUCCGCACAAGUCGGGCACAACUUCUCCUCGCUUUGGUUGGUAAGCAAAACAUCCCCCGCGCGAGUUGAGCUCAAAGUCCUCCUCGUACGUGUCGGGAAACAUUCCCCUGCACGAGACGAGCACACUAACUCAAAAUUUCUCCCUUAGAGCAGCACCAAUAGUUCAUGUAAAACACUCUCCCCUAAAUAUGGUUUACAUGGUGUCCAUAUAA